UAUAUAAAAUAUACAUACAUACAUAUAUAUCUAUAUAUGGUGUUCACUAUUUUAGGUGUAAUUCUUCUCCCACCACACUUUAUCCUUCUCUUACCCUCUCUUCCUUUCCUCACCAUUGAUACAAUUUCUUUCUCUCUCUCCCUUCUUUAUCUCUUUCUAUAUAUUCAUUAUGCACCGGAAUGAUUGAACCAAAAAUUUGAUUUUGGAGCAAAAACAGAGCGAGAGGAAAAGAGAGGGCCUUUCCAGCCCUCUGCUUGCAUAUGCCUCUCCUCAGAUCUUGAAUUUUGCCCGCUUGUCAUCUGUCUUCGCCCUUUGGAUGGCAAUGGAGCCUGGAAAAUUGUUUGUUGGAGGGAUUUCAUGGGACACCAAUGAAGGCCGUCUCAAAGAGUAUUUCCAAACAUUUGGAGAAGUAGUCGAGGCAGUGAUCAUGAAGGAUCGUGCCACAGGCCGUGCCCGCGGUUUUGGUUUUGUUGUUUUCGAGGAUCCUUCUGUUGCUGAAAGAGUUGUCAAAGAAAAACACAUGAUUGAUGGCAGAACUGUAGAGGCAAAGAAGGCUGUACCUAGGGAUGAUCAACACAUGAAUAGAAAUAGCGUAAAUAUACCAUCUUUUCCAGGUUCCAUCCGAACAAGAAAGAUUUUUGUAGGAGGUUUGGCAUCCUCAGUGUCCGAGAGUGACUUUAAAAAGUAUUUUGAUCAAUUUGGGACGAUCACUGAUGUUGUAGUGAUGUAUGACCACAACACACAAAGGCCUAGAGGUUUUGGGUUCAUCACUUAUGACUCAGAGGAAGCAGUAGAUAGAGUUCUGCACAAAAUGUUUCAUGAACUUAAUGGGAAAAUGGUUGAAGUGAAGCGAGCUGUUCCUAAGGAGUUAUCACCGGGGCCAAACCGGAGCCCAUUAGGUGGAUAUAACUCCGGUUUGAACCGAGUAAACAGUUUCCCGAAUGGAUACACUCUAAGUUCACUAGGAGGUUAUGGAGUAAGAAUGGAUAGAUUUAGCCCGACUGUUGUUGGUCGUAGUGGAUAUUCAUUGUUUAAUCAGUCAAGACCGACUCUAAACUCCCCAUUGAAUUUAAACUUUUCGGAAACUGGAAAUUUGAGUUCUAAUAUUGGAUACGGGGGUGCCCUGAAUUCCUUUAACGGUGGGCUACCAAAUAGGUACAAUGCCCCAAUUGGUAAUGCUCCAGGGGGGGUUGGAAGUGGUUCCAUGUUAAAGUCAACAUCUUGGAACCUAUGGGACAGUGAGAAUCUUAGUUAUAGCACAAAUCCCGCCAACUUUGUUGGCUCGGGAAGUGGGAACAGUGGAUUGGCUGCUCCCUUUGGAGGUCUUGGAACGAUUUGGGGUUCCUCCAUUUCAAGUCAAACCGGAAGGAAUGGUUGUUUUGACAGUGAAAACUUCACUUACAACAAUGGAGGUAAUAGCUUUGGUAGUGGGGGAGGAUAUGCACAAAAUAGUGGCUCAUAUGCUGCAACGGAAAAUGUUUAUAUCCGGGAUUCGGGAAACUUGUAUGGGACUGGAAACCGCUCGUUCUUUGAGGAUCCAACACCGCGUUCUUCAUCUCCAAAGCUUGAAGUUUCUGGUUCUUUUGGUUAUGGGCUUGAAAGUAUAUCCUCAGAUGUUAUGCCUAAUAACUCGCGUGGUUGUGUUGGUGGUUAUACUGUUACAAAUAGAUCGAAUAGAGAUGCUAACAAAGCGGGGACCAAAAACAGGAAAAGUGAAGACUCGGGACUAAGAAUAAUGGACACUUUUGUCCCUAUUCUUCUUCACUUUGCUCAUUUUUUAUCCCCAUCCUUUUCCAUUUUUGGUCCCCACUCCAUCAUCAGCAUCUAGUGGAGGAGCUAGUGAUGAAGGGAUAAACGCUACGAAACUUUGUGAACAACGGGGACAUUCACUACACACUUUUGAACUUGAGGGAAUUGCUGCCUAGGAAAGAAGAUACGUGUAUGGAGGGGAAACCCCUCUUUUGGACAUCAAAUGCGUUAAGGGUCGUGUUUGUGCAGAUAAAUACUUCAGGCUAGAGGUUUGAACAUCUGCAAUGGAUCGGAUUUUCCAUAAAGGUUUGAACUUUAGAGGUUUUUCUUUGACAUAGGCUGAGAUUUAAAAUCGAUUAGCGAAUAUACUUGAAAAUGGGAACUUCUUUGCUCGAUGAAACUAUACUUGCCGCUUUGUUAGAGGUAUACGGGAGAGGUACAGUUAUGGCGCCAUACAGGCGUGGUAGAAUUCCCGACUUAAAUUAUUGUACGUACCAUCUGUAUGUAUGUGAUGUAGUUAGAUAGAGAAGUGUAAUUUUCCUUUUUUUUUUUUGGGAUUCUUCUGCUUUUGUUCUUCUGCUGUAAUUUUGCUGGCUGCAAGUUUGUUGUUGUAUCCUUGUUCGUUCCCCUUUGGGGGCAUUGUCAGAAACAUUGUUGUAGUACAAUAAUGUUUUGCUCAUCAACAAUGAAACAUUCAUUGUUUGGGAGUGAUUAUAAUGAGCAAUGUCCCAAUCUGACUCAUGAAGUCUUUUAAUUUGAAUUCUGAAUAUUGCAUAAUA